rnacentral:SRP_RNA from 1 species
GCUGGGUGUGGUGGCUCACGCCUGUAAUCCCAACACUUUGGGAGGCUGAGUCGGGUGGAUUGCUUGAGGUCAGGAGUUUAAGACCAGCCUGGCCAACAUGGCAAAACCCCGUCUCUA